UGCCUACGGGACGCAGCAGUGAGGAAUAUUGGUCAAUGGCCGAGAGGCUGAACCAGCCAAGUCGCGUGAGGGAAGACGGCCCUACGGGUUGUAAACCUCCUUUGUCGGGGAGCAAAGCGAGUCACGUGUGACUCAUUGAGAGUACCCGAAGAAAAAGCAUCGGCUAACUCCGUGCCAGCAGCCGCGGUAAUACGGAGGAUGCGAGCGUUAGCCGGAUUUAUUGGGUUUAAAGGGUGCGCAAGCGGAGGUGCAAGUCAGCGGUCAAAUUGCGGGGGUCAACCCCGUACUGCCGUUGAAACUGCAUC
rnacentral:rRNA from 1 species